GUAGGGGGCAAGCGUUGUCCGGAUUUAUUGGGCGUAAAGAGCGUGUAGGCGGCUAGGUAGGUGGGUUGUGAAAACUGGAGGCUCAACCUUCAGACGUCGACCCAAACCCCCUGGCUAGAGUCCGGAAGAGGAGAGUGGAAUUCCUGGUGUAGCGGUGAAAUGCGCAGAUAUCAGGAAGAACACCCGUGGCGAAGGCGGCUCUCUGGGACGGUACUGACGCUGAGACGCGAAAGCGUGGGGAGCGAACAGGAUUAGAUACCCUGGUAGUCCACGCCGUAAACGAUGGGUGCUAGGUGUGGGGGGUGUCGACUCCCUCCGUGCCGAAGCUAACGCAUUAAGCACCCCGCCUGGGGAGUACGGCCGCAAGGCUA
rnacentral:rRNA from 1 species